UACGUAGGGGGCAAGCGUUGUCCGGAAUCAUUGGGCGUAAAGAGCGUGUAGGCGGCCCGAUAAGUCCGCUGUGAAAGUCCAGGGCUCAACCCUGGAAGGCCGGUGGAAACUGUCGGGCUAGAGUCCGGAAGAGGCGAGUGGAAUUCCCGGUGUAGCGGUGAAAUGCGCAGAUAUCGGGAGGAACACCAAUGGCGAAGGCAGCUCGCUGGGACGGUACUGACGCUGAGACGCGAAAGCGUGGGGAGCAAACAGGGAUUAAGAA
rnacentral:rRNA from 1 species